rnacentral:rRNA from 1 species
CCUACGGGUGGCAGCAGUGAGGAAUAUUGGUCAAUGGGCGGAAGCCUGAACCAGCCAAGUCGCGUGAGGGAUUAAGGCCCUGCGGGUCGUAAACCUCUUUUGCCGGGGAGCAGUGGUCCGGACGCGUCCGGACCGGGAGAGUACCCGGAGAAAAAGCAUCGGCUAACUCCGUGCCAGCAGCCGCGGUAAUACGGGGGAUGAGAGCGUUAUCCGGAUUUAUUGGGUUUACGGGGUGCGUAGGCGGGCAUUUAAGCCGGCGGUCAAAUGUCGGGGCUCAACCCCGGCCUGCCGUCGGAACUGGGUGCCUUGAGUGGGCGAGAAGUAUGCGGAAUGUAUGGUGUAGCGGUGAAAUGCUUAGAGAUCAUACAGAACACCGAUUGCGAAGGCAGCUUACCAAUCUAUAUCUGACGUUGAGGCACGAAAGCGUGGGGAGCAAACAGGAUUAGAUACCCUUGUAGUC